GGUAAUUUUAACCAAUCAAUGACGUGCAUUCAGCUGAAGAAAAUUACUGCUGCUGUUAAUUUUUUUCAGCUGAAUACACGUCAUUGAUUGGUUAAAAUUACCA
rnacentral:pre_miRNA from 1 species